UACGAAGGGGGCUAGCGUUGCUCGAAAUCACUGGGCGUAAAGCGCACGUAGGCGGACUCUUAAGUCGGUGGUGAAAUCCUGGAGCUCAACUCCAGAACUGCCUCCGAUACUGGGAGUCUUGAGUCCGGGAGAGGUGAGUGGAACUGCGAGUGUAGAGGUGAAAUUCGUAGAUAUUCGCAAGAACACCAGUGGCGAAGGCGGCUCACUGGCCCGGUACUGACGCUGAGGUGCGAAAGCGUGGGGAGCAAACAGGG
rnacentral:rRNA from 1 species